GGCGGCCUUAGCGCGGUGGUCCCACCUGACCCCAUGCCGAACUCAGAAGUGAAACGCCGUAGCGCCGAUGGUAGUGUGGGGUCUCCCCAUGCGAGAGUAGGGAACU
rnacentral:rRNA from 1 species